ACGGGAGGCAGCAGUGAGGAAUAUUGGUCAAUGGGCGAGAGCCUGAACCAGCCAAGUAGCGUGCAGGAUGACGGCCCUAUGGGUUGUAAACUGCUUUUAACCGGGAAUAACGUUACCUUCGUGAAGGUAAGUGCAUGUACCGGUUGAAUAAGGAUCGGCUAACUCCGUGCCAGCAGCCGCGGUAAUACGGAGGAUUCGAGCGUUAUCCGGAUUUAUUGGGUUUAAAGGGAGCGUAGGCGGGAAGUCAAGUCAGCUGUGAAAUGUAGACGCUCAACGUCUGCACUGCAGUUGAAACUGGUUUUCUUGAGUGCGUAAGAGGCAGGCGGAAUUCGUCGUGUAGCGGUGAAAUGCUUAGAUAUGUCACAGAACCCCGAUUGCGAAGGCAGCUUACCAGCAUACAACUGACGCUGAGGCACGAAAGCGUGGGUAUCAAACAGGAUUAGAUACCCUGGUA
rnacentral:rRNA from 1 species